rnacentral:rRNA from 1 species
GACGAACGCUGUCGGCGUGCUUAACACAUGCAAGUCGAACGGAAAGGCCCUGCUUUUGUGGGGUGCUCGAGUGGCGAACGGGUGAGUAACACGUGAGUAACCUGCCCUUGACUUUGGGAUAACUUCAGGAAACUGGGGCUAAUACCGGAUAGGAGCUCCUGCUGCAUGGUGGGGGUUGGAAAGUUUCGGCGGUUGGGGAUGGACUCGCGGCUUAUCAGCUUGUUGGUGGGGUAGUGGCUUACCAAGGCUUUGACGGGUAGCCGGCCUGAGAGGGUGACCGGCCACAUUGGGACUGAGAUACGGCCCAGACUCCUACGGGAGGCAGCAGUGGGGAAUAUUGCACAAUGGGCGGAAGCCUGAUGCAGCAACGCCGCGUGCGGGAUGACGGCCUUCGGGUUGUAAACCGCUUUCGCCUGUGACGAAGCGUGAGUGACGGUAAUGGGUAAAGAAGCACCGGCUAACUACGUGCCAGCAGCCGCGGUGAUACGUAGGGUGCGAGCGUUGUCCGGAUUUAUUGGGCGUAAAGGGCUCGUAGGUGGUUGAUCGCGUCGGAAGUGUAAUCUUGGGGCUUAACCCUGAGCGUGCUUUCGAUACGGGUUGACUUGAGGAAGGUAGGGGAGAAUGGAAUUCCCGGUGGAGCGGUGGAAUGCGCAGAUAUCAGGAGGAACACCAGUGGCGAAGGCGGUUCUCUGGGCCUUUCCUGACGCUGAGGAGCGAAAGCGUGGGGAGCGAACAGGCUUAGAUACCCUGGUAGUCCACGCUGUAAACGGUGGGUACUAGGUGUGGGGUCCAUUCCACGGGUUCCGUGCCGUAGCUAACGCUUUAAGUACCCCGCCUGGGGAGUACGGCCGCAAGGCUAAAACUCAAAGGAAUUGACAGGGCCCCGCACAAGCGGCGGAGCAUGCGGAUUAAUUCGAUGCAACGCGUAGAACCUUACCUGGGUUUGACAUGGAUCGGGAGUGCUCAGAGAUGGGUGUGCCUCUUUUGGGGUCGGUUCACAGGUGGUGCAUGGCUGUCGUCAGCUCGUGUCGUGAGAUGUUGGGUUAAGUCCCGCAACGAGCGCAACCCUUGUUCACUGUUGCCAGCACGUUAUGGUGGGGACUCAGUGGAGACCGCCGGGGUCAACUCGGAGGAAGGUGGGGAUGACGUCAAGUCAUCAUGCCCCUUAUGUCCAGGGCUUCACGCAUGCUACAAUGGCUGGUACAGAGAGUGGCGAGCCUGUGAGGGUGAGCGAAUCUCGGAAAGCCGGUCUCAGUUCGGAUUGGGGUCUGCAACUCGACCUCAUGAAGUCGGAGUCGCUAGUAAUCGCAGAUCAGCAACGCUGCGGUGAAUACGUUCCCGGG